rnacentral:lncRNA from 1 species
GACUGUAUCAUGGACAGAGCAGGAUAAGAACCAGUCCCAGAGCUAUCCCUGAACCUGGCUGGCCGUCUCACUACCUGGUGUGGAUGUCCUUAUGGGACACAAGAUCUCAUUCAAGGCAAUGCUCUGUGAUAGUCAUUCUCUUUCAGAUAUUUAUUUCCAUGGAGCACCCACUAUGUACAGCCUCUUGUCCGGACACUUCUGAGUCUGAGAUAGUAAGACACCGUCCCCACCCUGAAACUCAAAGUCCCUCUGGAACAAUGAUUUCUGGAACAGGCGUUACAAACCCAAAUGCCUAAGGAACAGACGGUGGGCAGUCUGGACCCGCGCGGGUCCGGAACACGAGCCGACAGUGGCUGUUUGUGUCUGCCUCGGAUGGAGGUGUUCAGCAGCACGUGGUCUCCUCCCCCGGCGCAUUUCUGGGCUGAUUCGGGUGAGACCUGUUCUCUAAAGUAACACAAAAGCUGGCCCACUUUAGGAGGAUUCAAGCGCUCCCUUUUACAACUCCC